AAAAAAUUAGUUAAAAAAUAACCUUAGUUUGUCAAACUAAAAUUAUUAAUUAAAAUUUAAUAUUUUUUA
rnacentral:tRNA from 1 species